GAUGAAGAACGUAGCGAAAUGCGAUAAGUAAUGUGAAUUGCAGAAUUCAGUGAAUCAUCGAAUCUUUGAACGCACAUUGCGCCCGCCAGUAUUCUGGCGGGCAUGCCUGUUCGAGCGUCAUUACAACCCUCAGGCCCCCGGGCCUGGCGUUGGGGAUCGGCAGAAGCCCCCUGUGGGCACACGCCGUCCCUCAAAUACAGUGGCGGUCCCGCCGCAGCUUCCAUUGCGUAGUAGCUAACACCUCGCAACUGGAGAGNNGCGCGGCCAUGCCGUAAAACACCCAACUUCUGAAUGUUGACCUCGAAUCAGGUAGGAAUACCCGCUGAACUUAAGCAUAUCAAUAAGCGGAGGA
rnacentral:misc_RNA from 1 species